UACUGUGUGAGCAAUGGGCAUUUCCUUCAGUACAGCAGGAUGGUUAUUAUGCACUACAUAGAUUAUGCUGUUGACAGGAGGAUUAGCAAGAUUACAGGGAAGGAGCAAGAUGAGGAAAAGCAGGGACAAGCUUUUUUGUAGGUUCAAAAGCUGUUAAAAGGAGAAAAAGCCUGCUGCCUCAUGUCGGAUUUCCGGAAAACACUUUUGGAAUUCCUGGAAAAAAGAACUUUACAUUCCUUUGAACCACCUUUUCUUUUGGGACACCACUUACAUUUCUGCAUCAUGACUCAUGAAAUUUAAGGUCUGACUGUCUCACAUACUGCCCCCUAUUCACUGUGUUUAUCGUACGAUAAACUAACGUCUCAUCGCUAUGCAUGGGAACAUCAUUAAAAUAAGAGCUUUGCUUUCUUCA